rnacentral:lncRNA from 1 species
CUGGGCAGUGGAGUCCCUCAAGGAGUUUUCUGGAUUUGUCUUCAAACAUGUGCACAAUUCCAUGGAAUCUAAAGUAGUGUCUGGCUGCCUCUUUCUGAAUUACUGAACAUAAAUGAGAUGAGGAAGCUACAAAACUGGUGAAUACAAGCCCCACUAGGGCCUACUGAGAAGAAAAGAGAAGAAAAGAGAAGAAAAGAGAAAAAAAAAGCUCACUCCAGUAUUUCAGGGAAUGCCUCAUGGCAGUGUCAAUUCAGCCAGAGAGCUGGACCCUGUACAAAUGUCCAGCUGGAUGAAAAAACCCUGAAAGAACAGUCUGCCAGAAAAAAACAACAGUCAAAACAGGAAGUAUUGGAACCUUACAGCAUUGAUAUUAGCCUAGAAUUUUCUCUAUUUUUAUGGGCCUCCAUAUGGCAGUGUUUGUUGAGGAGAAAGAAUUUAUAG